CUGGGGUAUUCCCUCUCUUGAAAAGACAAUCUUCUAAGCUUCCUUUUGCCAAGUGUUCAUAGACUAGAAUGCCAUACUCUGGGCAGGCUCCUAUAAGCAGUACCAUGUUUGGAUGCCGUAUUAAGCUAAGCACUUCAACCUGAAAGGACGUAAAACCUUGACUGCAACUGGUGUAUGAUCAAGAUAACACUUGUAAACUGGGCCAUAACCUCCUUCCCCGAUCUUCUUUGAUUCCGAAAAGUAUUGUGUUGCUUCUUCAAUCUCCUCAAUUGAGUAUCUCCUGUAUCUGAUAUCAUUAUAGGAUAGAUUACCCUUUGAUUUCUUCGUUUGUGCAGCUUCUUUGAGGGCUUUCUCUAUGAUGACUCUCCUUUGUGCUUCUAUUUCUGCUCUCCUCUGAGCUGUUUCAGCAGCUUCUAUGGCUUCUCUGCACCUGGCUUUCUCUUGUUCUAUAAUUGAUAGUGCAGCUUCCUCAGAAAAUCUUGCCUCUUCCAAUCUUCGUUCUUCUUCUAUUCUCCAGCGAUUCAGCUCCGUUGCCUAUAUGCGUGUGAUUUUAGAACCUACAGGGAAUCUUACAAGUGCACAUGGCAAACAUGACUUCUCUGUACCUUUUGUUUUGCUCAGUGGGGAGACAAAUGGGGCGGCACGAGAAGCAUUUCUCAUGGAAGAGACCUUUCCUUUUGAGACUGCAUACACAGUACAGAAAUCCGGUGCCCCUCUUGACACAGUGCUUGGGACAUCGGCCUUGAAUUUUCUGUAUAACAAAACCAUUGGAGUUAAGAGGAUCUGUAGUCACUGAAUGCACGUAAAUAUCUGCAAGAAAAUGGAAUUCAUUUGUCAAUUGCCAUCUCUCUCAUGAUUGUAAUUGUUGAUUAUGUUUCCAUCCGUACAUAAAGUCAUCCUGACUGUUCAGUAUUUUACUUAUCAGAGAUUUCCAAACAAAUUUCAGAGUUGAGAAUGUAUAAAAGUGCUGCUAGUGUUCUGAACGUUGACAUAUGUGGGAACUUGUCACUUGCUUUGGAGAAAAGAAUGGCUUAUUAGUGGCUUGCUUUGCUUUUAUAGUGGUUGAAAAUGCUUUUUUUAAAGUGCUUUUGAUAUGAAAAACAUUUCAUUUUUUUUUUAUGGUUUUGAUAUAAGGAUCUCAAAACCAUUAAAAAAAAUAACACCUGAAAAGGCAUAAACCAAAAUUCACUUUGGAAAGAACCAGAACCGCAAUACCAAAUGGUGUACCAUUAACCUGUCAUUCAAGUAAAACCGAGUUUCUCUUUUGUUGGAAACAGCUUGCGCUUCCUGUUUCUUUGCAGAUGGAAGGUUCCCUGAAUUUAUAUUCUGGUUGAGUGUGUGCCAGUAGAGUUUCCAAGUUAGGAUGGGGCUGAGGGGGUGCAAAAAUACCUCAUAAAUCCACUCCGUGACGGGGUGCCGAGAACCAAAGUCUCGAUUGCAGCAUGGGCAACAUAUUCUGUUAUUGCUUUUGCUAUAUCAGUGCUUUCAAGUGCAACAUCAAGGCAACGCACCUGAUGCAUGAAAAAAAAUCUGCAUGAUGAAAAGGAAAGGAGAAAAGCAAGACUUUUUCCAUGCAAGGUGCCUACAGAUGCAUGAUUUUAUUGUUGAAAGGAGGUAUGACAAUGACAGGGCUUAAAAACUACAUCUUUACGGGUACAAUAGCAUCGAAAUGCAAGGAAGAGAUCCUUGGCCAUCUUCUCAAGCUGCUGCUUCCCUGGUGAAAAAUAAUCACCAGCUGCUCCGUGGCCUGAUUGUGAAACAAGAAAAAAGGAAAACACGUGGAAAGAAAAGAUUAGAACAUGAAACCUGGAAUUUGAAGAUUCACUCAAGAGAUCAAAGGAGCUGCAGGACGUUGAAUGUAAGUUGAGCAACCCCCUUUACAAUGUAGGGCACGUAGGUUGCAGUAUCAUCAUAAUUAUAAUCUAUUAUUAUUGUAGAUAAUGAAUCAGAGAGAAAAGAAGUUACUAGUAACAAAUGAUGAUGAUGAUGAUGAUGAUGAUGAUUUGCUAAAAACAUGGAUUAGAACAACAGUUUGGCCUUUGGAGAGAAGAUUUUCCAUAGUCCAUUUCAAUGCAUUUUGGCUCCCUUUGUCUUUGUCCACUGCAACUGCCACCAACCCCUUUCCUUCUCCUCCCUUCCUGCUCCACUGUCCCUUUGAAAGCCACAUUUUCUGUGUUGUUUCUCAACACUCAAGAAAAAAAAAAGAGUUGAAAAGGACAGGAAAAAUAUAUUCACAAAAGUGGAUAACAAUUCUUACAGUCGUUUACAAAAGACCACCUGAGAGACCUAGAAAACCUCUCUUCUAUCUCUGUGGAGACAACAAUUUUGUAUGAUGCCUUGUGGUCAAA